CAGCCUGGCAAUGGCACUGCUGGGCAGCUCCAGAUCACGGGGCUCUGCUCUCAUUCCAUCCUGUUCUCAGAGCAGCUUUUUGAGUGCGGGUUUGAUUGGUGAGUGACAGCCAGUGUGGACAGUGAGGAAGCCCAGCUCUGCUGCCUGGGCCAGCUGCAGUGAACACGCUGUAAAUCGGACUGGUCCAGAGCAACGUGUCCAUGGGAUCCACCUGGCACUGCCGUGACCCUCUGGAAUCCCAUGGCUGGACCACAGCUGGCACUUCUGAACACACCAUCAGGUUCAGCCCUGGUGAUGGUCAGGGAGACCUCGGUGAGCCCCAGUGUGCCUUGUUUGGUGGGGUGAGGAAGAGGAUGUUGCAGUCACCGGUGGUCCCCUCUUGGCCUGACAGUCAUGGUGAUUCUAAAAUGUCACCUCCUGCUUUCCACUGGCCUCAGUGACUGUGGGUUUUGCUGAUCUCCAGCAAUUCUCUGGCUGCUCUGUUCACUCUAGAUCCUGUGAGGGAUGUCUCCUGCCCAGCAGUAUUCUACACGGCUUAACUCCUUCCAUCAGCAAAUCCCUCUGUCCUCCCCAUCCUUCCACUUUACAGCUUCAGGGAAACUCGCCUUCACUUUCCUGACUUCCAGGUAACACACCCAGGUGCUGCCACACCCACCUGGACCCUUCCAGCCAGGCAGGAGGUCCAUGAACAGCAGAAAGAAAGUCAUCACCAGAUAACCAUGGCUAAAACUGCCCGCUCCAGCAUCUGGGUGAAGACAUCUCAACUUUCAAUUUUCUUGCUGAUUUCCCGGAGCUGAUGGUGCCCUUCACUCCUCCUUGGCAUGUUCAGGGCUGCAUCCUAAGCAUCCAGACAGUACCCACGAGAUCGGUGCAAAAGUUUCAGAAGCAGAGACUCAAGAGCAGUGCUGAGGCUGUGCUUCGGGGAACACAAUUCUCAUUCCUUUGAAAAUUCUUGUUCUGCUGGUUGGGAAUUUUGUUCAGCAUUUCCCUUCCCAGCUGGCAUCAUAGAGCCUUUCUCAAGGUGUUGACUGUGUGGAAAGAAGAAAAAAGAAGGGCAGAUUUCAUCUAGCUUGGAUUUACCCGGGGAAAGAUUUUCUUCCAGAGAUCCUAAUCCGAAACCGCUUCUUCCCCGUGGUAGUUCACAACCUCUGACGUACAUCCACAGGGGUGGACUCUGCAUCUGGGAGCACCAAGGGGGCUGGCCACAGGCUCUGGGAACAGAUGGAUUGGCAUUUUGGCUCAUGAGAUUAAGAACCAAUUCUACUCCAGCCACGGCUGCGUCUCAGCACCGUGGAAACCACAGCAUUUAUGUAAAAAGCAUUUGGGCGGAAUUUACUCACCUAUCAC